rnacentral:rRNA from 1 species
UACGUAGGGAGCAAGCGUUGUCCGGAUUUAUUGGGCGUAAAGCGCGCGUAGGCGGUUUCGUAAGUCGGGUGUGAAAACUCCAAGCUCAACUUGGAGCCUGCAUCCGAAACUGCGAUGACUCGAGUCAGGUAGGGGAACACGGAAUUCCAGGUGUAGCGGUGAAAUGCUUAGAUAUCUGGAGGAACACCAGUGGCGAAGGCGGUGUUCUGGGCCUGUACUGACGCUGAUGCGCGAAAGCGUGGGGAGCGAACAGGAUUAGAAACCCCCGUAGUCC